rnacentral:rRNA from 1 species
UACGUAGGGUGCAAGCGUUGUCCGGAAUUAUUGGGCGUAAAGAGCUCGUAGGCGGUCUGUCGCGUCGAAUGUGAAAACCCGGGGCUCAACCCCGGGCCUGCAUUCGAUACGGGCAGACUAGAGUUCGGUAGGGGAGUCUGGAAUUCCUGGUGUAGCGGUGAAAUGCGCAGAUAUCAGGAGGAACACCGGUGGCGAAGGCGGCUUCCUGGCCUGUUCUUGACGCUGAGGCGCGAAAGCUAGGGGAGCAAACGGG